GACGAACGCUGGCGGCGUGCUUAACACAUGCAAGUCGAACGGACAGGCCCUGCUUUUGUGGGGUGCUCGAGUGGCGAACGGGUGAGUAACACGUGAGUAACCUGCCCUUGCCUUUGGGAUAACUUCAGGAAACUGGGGCUAAUACUGGAUAGGAGCUCCUGCUGCAUGGUGGUGGUUGGAAAGUUUCGGCGGUUGGGGAUGGACUCGCGGCUUAUCAGCCUGUCGGUGGGGUAGUGGCUUACCAAGGCAUUGACGGGUAGCCGGCCUGAGAGUGUGACCGGCCACAGUGGGACUGAGGUGCGGCCAGUACGGCUACUGGAGGAAGCGAUGGAAGAUAGUGCACAAUGGGCGGAAGCCGGAAGCAGCAACGCCGCGUGGGGAAUGACGGCCGUCGGGUUGUAAACCGCUUGCGCCUGGAACGAAGCGUGAGUGACGGUAAUUUGUAAGGAAGCACCGGCUAACUACGUG
rnacentral:rRNA from 1 species